rnacentral:rRNA from 2 species
UAGGGAAUAUUGUGCAAUGGGCGAAAGCCUGACACAGCCAUGCCGCGUGUGUGAAGAAGGCCCUAGGGUUGUAAAGCACUUUCAGUGGCGAAGAAAAGCUCCAUGCUAAUACCAUGGGGUGUUGACGUUAACCACAGAAGAAGUACCGGCUAACUCCGUGCCAGCAGCCGCGGUAAUACGGAGGGUACGAACGUUAAUCGGAAUUACUGGGCGUAAAGCGCGCGUAGGCGGUUCGCUAAGUGAGGUGUGAAAUCCCCGGGCUCAACCUGGGAACUGCACUUCAAACUGGCGGACUAGAGUGUAGUAGAGGGAGGCGGAAUUUCCUGUGUAGCGGUGAAAUGCGUAGAUAUAGGAAGGAACACCAGUGGCGAAGGCGGCCUCCUGGACUAACACUGACGCUGAGGCGCGAAAGCGUGGGGAGCAAACAGG